GUGAGGGCACGGCCGGGGUAAGAGAAACAGCGGAACACUGAGGGCACGGCCGGGGUAAGAGAAACAGCGGAACACUGAGGGCACGGCCGGGGUAAGAGAAACAGCGGAACAGUGAGGGCACGGCCGGGAUGGGAUUCUGCCGCUGGAUCUCAAAGUGCUGGGAGUGGAGCUGGGAGCAGAAAGGAUGACUCCUGCCCAGGAAAACGUUUGUAACCGUGUCAAAGGUGGUCCGUGUGUGCCCAGAGAAUGAGAAGGAAAAGCAGGGCAACUUCAGAAGAGUGGUUUGUGUCAUCGACCAGCACGUGCUGAUCCAGAGCAGGAGGAAGUCAGCUCCUUCAACAGGGGGAGAGUGACCCAUAGGGAUGCCUUUAACAUGACUGUACCCUUGCAUAUGAAGACCUGAAAGGACCAUCCAAUUCCUUGCUCCUAAAAAGCUCCAGAAAGGCAGGUUGUGUAGGAGACAAUCUACAUAACAUGUAGUUCAUUUUAAGGCUGUGCUGGAAAACUAAAAUCUUUUUAUGCUAGCAAAGAGCCAGUUUUAUAGCCAUAAUGACAGGGGAAACAGUACUGUCAAAGCAGAAAUAACAAAUGGAACAUGAAUUCUUUACGUUCCUACAGCCUGAAGGCCACAGCCUGGCUUCAAAUGUCUUCAAAACUACAGGAAUACUUUUGUGAAACCCCAACAUGUGAACUUGGUGUCUUCUAGAUAUUUUCAAGGUCUUGAUAUCUCCUUUAUAUCCAUCCAACUCUCCCCUUUUUUUUCGAGAGGAAAAAGUUCAUUCCGAUGGUAGAAGCCAACGCUCUAAAUUCAGGAAUAUAAGAAGCCAUAACAGAUAACUAAACAAAUGCAGACAGAUUUUAAAACAUGCAAAAAUUAUAAGGUGAUAAAAUACUAUAACUUUUUAAUUAUAAUGAUGCAAAUCUUUAGAAAACAUAAAAAAUAAAGUUCUAAUUAUCUUUGCAUAGAAAUCAGAAUCACAUAAAUUAUUGAGACUUCCAAACUCUUAAAGCUGCCUUAUUUUACAAGAAAAAGUUAUGAAUUUACCACAUGGAAAUUGCAUUUAAUGUAAAUAGAGACUGACUUCUAAUUGCCCAUUGCAAGUGAGCACUAGAAACUUGUUUUUGCAUUUUGCAAUCUAAAUACUGUACUUCUGGGUUACUUUUGAUAUGAUUUAUUUUUAUAUAUUAUAUAUUCUUAUAUCAUUAUCUACUUUAUAGUCAUUAUUAUAUAUGUUUAUAUUUUUAAUUAAUUAUAUUGUUUAUUUUUCUAUUAAAAUAUUUAAAAGUACAGAAGAAGACUAUGUUUAUUUUUUCAUGCUAUUUUAAUAGUAGUAUACUAGUAAUAUUUCUGGUUUGUGUAGUCCAAUAAUGUUAGCAUAAUGUUUUAAAUAAAUACUGAAGCAAAUAAAAUUGUUUUCUCAAA